rnacentral:lncRNA from 10 species
GGGGCUAGGAGGCUCACUGCCUCCUGUUCCAGCUCCUGCUGCUGCUCUGAGGACUCAGGAACACCUUCGAGCUUUGCAGACCUGCGGUCAGCCCUCCAUGCGCAAGACUAAAGCAGCGGAAGAGGAGGCACGGUGGCUCACACCUUUAAUCCCAGUGCUUUGGGAGGCUGAGGCAGGAGGAUCUCUUGAGCCCAGAAAUUCGAGGCUGCACGCACCUCGGCAUCCGCAUUACCAGUGCUUGCGUGGCAGUCCACUAAUCGGGUGAGAACCAUAUUGCUUUUUGCAUCUCAAUGAAGCAAUAGUAGCAAUUUAUCAAGCACUUUUUUUUCCAGACUGGUAUAAAAUUGUAUGUGCUUUUGUAAACCAUUUAACAAUAAAAGUAAAAUACAAAAGGGAACAGGG